rnacentral:rRNA from 1 species
CCUACGGGGGGCAGCAGCUAAGAAUCUUCCGCAAUGGGGGAAACCCUGACGGAGCGACGCCGCGUGGACGAUGAAGGCCGUAAGGUUGUAAAGUCCUUUUGCAGGUGAAGAAUAAGGUAGGGAGUGGAAAGCCCUGCUGAUGACGUUAGCCUGCGAAUAAGCCCCGGCCAAUUACGUGCCAGCAGCCGCGGUAAUACGUAUGGGGCGAGCGUUGUUCGGAGUUAUUGGGCGUAAAGGGCGUGUAGGCGGCCCGAGAAGUCUGGUGUGAAAUCGCAGGGCUCAACCCUGCGGGUGCGCUGGAAACUGACGGGCUUGAGUCCCGGGGGGGAAGCUGGAAUUCCUGGUGUAGGAGUGAAAUCUGUAGAGAUCAGGAAGAACACCGGUGGCGAAGGCGAGCUUCUAUUCGAGGACUGACGCUGAGGCGCGAAAGCGUGGGGAGCAAACAGGAUUAGAUACCCUAGUAGUC